rnacentral:antisense_RNA from 1 species
ACACUUGACUACUUGGUUGAUGUAAAGAAGAAAUUAUUGUUGUAUUAG